rnacentral:lncRNA from 1 species
UCUCACCGUCACGGAGAUAAAGGUGAGUAGAAAGCAAAAAUGACCAAUGGAGUAUAAUUUAUAACGAACUCGUUUAUUAACAUAAAAACUUUUACUGUCCACUUACCUCGGUGAGAUCCAUGAAAACACCACAUGAAAGCAAUAACGUUAUCAUCAUCAUAAAAUCAUAUAAACUUUAUAACAUAACACAUAUCAUACCUUUACAUUUCAAUCAUCAAAAAACAUAUUUCCUCUUUUACCAGCCUACUAGUA